rnacentral:rRNA from 1 species
UACGGAGGGUGCAAGCGUUAUCCGGAUUCACUGGGUUUAAAGGGUGCGUAGGAGGGCAGGUAAGUCAGUGGUGAAAUCUCCAAGCUUAACUUGGAAACUGCCGUUGAUACUAUCUGUCUUGAAUAUUGUGGAGGUGAGCGGAAUAUGUCAUGUAGCGGUGAAAUGCUUAGAUAUGACACAGAACACCGAUUGCGAAGGCAGCUCACAAAACUAUAACUGACGCUGAGGCACGAAAGCGUGGGGAUCAAACAGG